UACGGGGGGGGCAAGCGUUGUUCGGAAUUACUGGGCGUAAAGAGCUCGUAGGCGGUCUGUCGCGUCGGCUGUGAAAUCUCGGGGCUCAACCCCGAGCCUGCAGUCGAUACGGGCAGACUAGAGUGCUGUAGGGGAGACUGGAAUUCCUGGUGUAGCGGUGAAAUGCGCAGAUAUCAGGAGGAACACCGGUGGCGAAGGCGGGUCUCUGGGCAGUAACUGACGCUGAGGAGCGAAAGCGUGGGGAGCGAACAGG
rnacentral:rRNA from 1 species